UAAUAAAGCACUGCUGACUUAUGUAUAUGCUGAGGAUUGGCUCAGUGUUUCUACCAACUACCGUAAAGAGUUGACUACAUAACCUUGUGUGGUCGCU
rnacentral:ncRNA from 2 species